rnacentral:rRNA from 1 species
AGUGGCGGACGGGUGAGUAACGCGUGAGAAUCUGCCUUGGGGUCGGGGACAACCACUGGAAAUGGUGGCUAAUACCGGAUAAGCCGAUUGGUGAAAGAUUUAUUGCCCGAAGAGGAGCUCGCGUCUGAUUAGCUAGUUGGUGAGGUAAGAGCUCACCAAGGCAGCGAUCAGUAGCUGGUCUGAGAGGACGAUCAGCCACACUGGGACUGAGACACGGCCCAGACUCCUACGGGAGGCAGCAGUGGGGAAUUUUCCGCAAUGGGCGAAAGCCUGACGGAGCAAGACCGCUGAGGGAGGAAGGCUCUUGGGUUGUAAACCUCUUUUCUCAGGGAAGAAGCUCUGACGGUACCUGAGGAAUCAGCCUCGGCUAACUCCGUGCCAGCAGCCGCGGUAAUACGGAGGAGGCAAGCGUUAUCCGGAAUUAUUGGGCGUAAAGCGUCCGCAGGUGGCGAUUCAAGUCUGCUGUCAAAGCACGGGGCUUAACUCCGUAAAGGCAGUGGAAACUGAAUAGCUAGAGUGCCGUAGGGGUAGAGGGAAUUCCCGGUGUAGCGGUGAAAUGCGUAGAGAUCGGGAAGAACAUCGGUGGCGAAAGCGCUCUACUGGACGGCAACUGACACUCAGGGACGAAAGCUAGGGGAGCGAAUGGGAUUAGAUACCCC